CUUAUACUCCCACCAUCCCAAAAUUUUUGUCUUUGAUUUGUCUAAAUACGGAUGUAUCUAGUUACAUUUUAGUGUCAGAUACAUCCGUAUCUAGAUAAAUAUAAGACAAGAAUUUUGGGACGGAGGGAGUAUUUA
rnacentral:pre_miRNA from 1 species